CCUACGGGAGGCUGCAGUGAGGAAUAUUGGUCAAUGGGCGGGAGCCUGAACCAGCCAAGUCGCGUGAGGGAAGAAGGUACUGAGUAUUGUAAACCUCUUUUGCCAGGGGACAAAGGCGGCCACGGGUGGCCGUAAGAGGGUACCUGGAGAAAAAGCAUCGGCUAACUCCGUGCCAGCAGCCGCGGUAAUACGGAGGAUGCGAGCGUUAUCCGGAUUUAUGGGGUUUAAAGGGUGCGUAGGCGGAUCGUUAAGUCAGUGGUAAAAUUGAGGGGCUCAACCCCUUCCCGCCAUUGAAACUGGCGCGCUUGAGUGGAAGAGAAGUAUGCGGAAUGCGUGGUGUAGCGGUGAAAUGCAUAGAUAUCACGCAGAACCCCGGUUGCGAAGGCAGCAUGCCGGAUUCCGACUGACGCUGAAGCACGAAAGCGUGGGGAUCGAACAGGAUUAGAUACCCUUGUAGUC
rnacentral:rRNA from 1 species